CUCCUUUCUCUCUCUUUCCUCUCUCUACCUUCUCUCUAUAUUUUCUCUCUCUAGAUUCUCUCUCUAGACCUUUCUCUCUCUUUAUGAAUUUUAUCUCUCUAGUAUCUUUUUCUCUCUCUGAUUUCAUCAUUGAUCCUAAGAUAAAAUCGAUAUAUAAAAUAUGAUGACCUGAGAUUGCUCUGAAAUUCGUGCAGUAGAUCAAAUCCCAGCCCGAUCCUACUCAAAAUUUAUAACACUUG
rnacentral:lncRNA from 1 species